rnacentral:rRNA from 1 species
UACGUAGGGCGCAAGCGUUGUCCGGAAUUAUUGGGCGUAAAGAGCUCGUAGGCGGCUUGUCACGUCGAUUGUGAAAGCCCGGGGCUUAACUCCGGGUCUGCAGUCGAUACGGGCUAGCUAGAGUGUGGUAGGGGAGAUCGGAAUUCCUGGUGUAGCGGUGAAAUGCGCAGAUAUCAGGAGGAACACCGGUGGCGAAGGCGGAUCUCUGGCCAUUACUGACGCUGAGGAGCGAAAGCGUGGGGAGCGAACAGG